UGCGCAGGCGGUCGUGCAAGACAGGUGUGAAAUCCCCGGGCUUAACCUGGGAACUGCACUUGUGACUGCACGGCUGGAGUACGGCAGAGGGGGAUGGAAUUCCGCGUGUAGCAGUGAAAUGCGUAGAUAUGCGGAGGAACACCGAUGGCGAAGGCAGUCCCCUGGGCCUGUACUGACGCUCAUGCACGAAAGCGUGGGGAGCAAACA
rnacentral:rRNA from 1 species